GCAUCACCCCGGUCGGCUUGCGCUUCAUACUUUCGAUGAGGUGCAUAACUCCAGCCCAGAACCGGUGCCCGAAUAGAUAGCCUACGUUUAUUGCUCUGUAGUCGCUUUCAUGAUAGCCUAUAGGUAGGCUAAAUAAUGUUAGUAGGCUAUACCGGUGAUUGAUUUGUUAAAGUAUGAAGAAGAUUCCAAAUAGAUUCGUUGUGGUUCCAUUCCAUGUUAAGAUUAUAUUAUCAGUUUAGGUCCUCGUCAUAUUUUUUUACCUCAUAGCCAUUCUAUCUAGUUUCGUUUGUUUAGAAUUCCGCGUGCAGUUUUAUCUGUUUAAGUGUUUAUCUUGGUUUGGCCAUAAUAACAUACAGUUCCAUCACUGCUUGUGCGUAAUGAUAGACUUAGAUAGACUACGCUGAGACGGUAAGAGAGCCCACAGCCUCCCGUACCUGAAUGGUAGGCUAUCGGACUCGAUUUAGUAAUUAUAUUCUAGGGCUGUCGAUUUCCGUGACUCGCUGCUGUUUUGUGAACGCUUCACCGCAAGGACAGCGACUAAUAAACCGGACAUUGCCACUUUAAAAACAGCCCCGGGUCAUUCGAAAAGCGCAGGACCAGAUGCUGCAUCGAAGCAUGAAGAAAAGAAAACAGAUGAAUGAAUGAAUUUCGAGAGCAAAAUUGACAGAUAAAACGCGCAUAAACUGACACAGCAAUGAUAUGAUUUAUAAUACAUUGUCAUGGGCUCUUCUGAGCGUGAGGGAGCAACAGUGUCCGGACUCGCCUGGGCUGUUUGUUGAGUUUGCUGGCAGAGGAGGAUGGGUAUUAAUGGAGACUGUCACAGGAGAGGAGGGUAACGACCAGGGGCCUGUUAAGGAGGCAAACAACGUUUUGAAACAGGGAG